UCGACGGUAACAUCGUUCUAGAAGGUAGACGUUAAACACGAGUUUGCUAAGUGAUAAUUUUUUCCCUCGGAAGUGGUGUGGUCAACUCUUCUUCAAUUUAGCGUAGUGUAAUGUGUUCUGCUAUGAAUUUUUCAUAAAAAACAGGUUAUAGUGCGACUGUAAUUGAGUUGUCGCUUGAGAUUUCCAUGGAUUGUUGUCGUUUCAUUCGUCAAGUUAUAAUAAACUCCUGGCUUCUGCAAGUUAGGUUUUGGUGCGAGUUUUAACUUUUAGAGUUCCUGUUCUACCGGCAAAAACUUCACACAAGUUAUAGCUGCUCUCUUUACCAAGAGGGUCUUGUCGCAGGUGAGGUGCGAGCGAAGUGGCUGGUGGUACCUACCGGUGGGCAGUGACUGACUGGACGUCUCGAGAGCUUGGCUGUCAUGAACUCAUUUCUGCAUUGCACAGAAGUAUCGGUAUUGCACUGAAGUAUCGGUAGUUACGACGUCAAUGGACAGUCUUCGAUGUAGUGCGGUUAUGUCUUGACCACGUAAUGGUUUUAGGGAGACGUUGUCGCAAGGUUACAAGAAGAGCUGGGCUUAUGGACUUUUCACGGAGCACCAAUAGCGUUUUACUCUUAUAACCGAGGAGGACAAUUUGAGACUAGAGGGAGGUCUUUUGGUUACCUACGAGGAUUUCUGCACGUGUACUACUGUAUGUUGUAACUGACCCCGCCAAGGCUGGUGUACUACCAGUCGCUAAUGUUUGGAGAGCUCUGUUGGAGAUAGAUGGCCAUUUUUCGUAAUGUGAGAGAUAACUGCAAGCUGCAUUUGAAGAUUUUUUGAUCUACCUUUAGUUAGGCGUACUUUUAAAGACUAAACGAUUUCUCGGCAACAUACGUUUCGGCAUGGUUUGGAUUUUACCGAGAAUCCAGGACUUUUUAUUGUUGCUUGAAUGAUUUAACAUUUUAAGUAUUAAUGUGCUCACUAACAUCAAUAUAUGUUAAUAUAUUCAUUAAUAUUUA